rfam:Brugia malayi, FR3, WGS project CAPY01000000 data, contig: ctg1498194
GCUCCCGUGGCCUAAUGGAUAAGGCGUUGGUCUCCUAAGCCAGCAAAAAUAGAAAGAGUCAACCAACGAUGGGGGUUCAAGUCCCCCCGGGAGCC